rnacentral:rRNA from 1 species
AGAGUUUGAUCCUGGCUCAGAAUGAACGUUGGCGGCGUGGAUUAGGCAUGCGAGUCGUGCGAGAACCGUAGCAAUACGGGGACAGCGGCGAAAGGGAGAGGAACACGUGGAUACCUACCCUCAGGUUCAGGAUAGCUAUGGGAAACUAUAGGUAAUACUGAAUAAUAUCUCCGGAUCAAAGGUGUGAUUCCGCCGGAGGAGGGGUCCGCGUCCUAUUAGCUAGUUGGUGAGGUAAUGGCUCACCAAGGCGAAGAUGGGUACGGGAUGUGAGAGCAUGAUCCCGCUCAUUGGGACUGAGACACUGCCCAGACACCUACGGGUGGCUGCAGUCGAGAAUCUUCGGCAAUGGGGGAAACCCUGACCGAGCGACGCCGCGUGUGAGAUGAAGGCCUUCGGGUUGUAAAUCACUGUCGUAGAGGAGGAAGUGUAGGUGGGUUCUCCCACUUAUUUGACCUAUUCUAGGAGGAAGGACGGGCUAAGUUCGUG